rnacentral:rRNA from 1 species
UGGAGCUGAAAUCAGUCGAAGAUACCAGCUGGCUGCAACUGUUUAUUAAAAACACAGCACUGUGCAAACACGAAAGUGGACGUAUACGGUGUGACGCCUGCCCGGUGCCGGAAGGUUAAUUGAUGGGGUUAUCCGUAAGGAGAAGCUCUUGAUCGAAGCCCCGGUAAACGGCGGCCGUAACUAUAACGGUCCUAAGGUAGCGAAAUUCCUUGUCGGGUAAGUUCCGACCUGCACGAAUGGCGUAAUGAUGGCCAGGCUGUCUCCACCCGAGACUCAGUGAAAUUGAACUCGCUGUGAAGAUGCAGUGUACCCGCGGCAAGACGGAAAGACCCCGUGAACCUUUACUAUAGCUUGACACUGAACACUGGUCCUUGAUGUGUAGGAUAGGUGGGAGGCUUUGAAGUGUGGACGCCAGUCUGCAUGGAGCCAUCCUUGAAAUACCACCCUUUAAUGGCUGGUGUUCUAACGUGGACCCGUGAUCCGGGUUGCGGACAGUGUCUGGUGGGUAGUUUGACUGGGGCGGUCUCCUCCUAAAGAGUAACGGAGGAGCACGAAGGUUAGCUAAUCCUGGUCGGACAUCAGGAGGUUAGUGCAAAGGCAUAAGCUAGCUUGACUGCGAGAGUGACGGCUCGAGCAGGUGCGAAAGCAGGUCUUAGUGAUCCGGUGGUUCUGAAUGGAAGGGCCAUCGCUCAACGGAUAAAAGGUACUCCGGGGAUAACAGGCUGAUACCGCCCAAGAGUUCAUAUCGACGGCGGUGUUUGGCACCUCGAUGUCGGCUCAUCACAUCCUGGGGCUGAAGUAGGUCCCAAGGGUAUGGCUGUUCGCCAUUUAAAGUGGUACGCGAGCUGGGUUUAGAACGUCGUGAGACAGUUCGGUCCCUAUCUGCCGUGGGCGCUGGAGAAUUGAGGGGGGCUGCUCCUAGUACGAGAGGACCGGAGUGGACGCAUCACUGGUGUUCGGGUUGUCAUGCCAAUGGCAUUGCCCGGUAGCUAAAUGCGGAAGAGAUAAGUGCUGAAAGCAUCUAAGCACGAAACUUGCCCCGAGAUGAGUUCUCCCUGAGACUAUAAGUCUCCUGAAGGAACGUUGAAGACGACGACGUUGAUAGGUCGGGUGUGUAAGUGUAGCGAUACAUUGAGCUAACCGAUACUAAUGAACCGUGAGGCUUAACCUU